AUCCAGUCCCACAUUCCUCUGGGCCCAAGAGAUCAACUGGACUCUACAGCCCACCCCACCGACAUCAGACACUGACAGUAUGAUAACAGGAUCUAGGUCUUAAUUCUUGAGUUCUUGUGAAAAGGUUCCUUCUCGUCAUGGUUUCUACAUUAAAGAGAAGACUUACCUUUUCUGCCCUUGUAGGAAACUGCAGAACAAUUUCUGAAUCUUCUUGUGAAAAAUAUCCAUGGUUGACCAAAUUCUCAAACAAGCCAGCCCCCUGAUGAUGUGUGCAAUCCAUCUGAAUGUGCCGCUGCACUGGUGUUCAAUGCGUCCCCUGCUAUCACAUGAUCUCAGCAGUCUGAAGACAGUGGGGGAUGCCAUGAGUGCUGGUGCAAUGGCAUGUACAGCUGGAUGGCAAGAAGAGAAAAAUCCAAGCACCCUGUGACCAGCUGAUGUCUAAAACCAAACAGAAUCCUCAUAAAGGCUUGAGACAACAGUCAUCCAAAGGAAUGCUGAACCUGGGGGCAUGAAAAGAAAAAAACAGUGGGUGAUCCACCAGACACAGAUAACAUAAGCAAGUGUACAUAACUUUCCAUUAAGGGCACAAUACUGAAAAUUAAGAAAAUAAAACCUGGAAUACCCUUUAAACUAAUAUACUUGUACAAAGUAAACUCAUUUGCAUCUGCUCUCCUUUUUUACUCCAGCCUGUGUAAGUUGCCCUCCAAGGUUUCUCUAUCCCCUGUCCACUCUUUAAGCUGUUAUCUGUAAGACUGGAACAAUUCUAAUAGUUACACAUCCACACCGUCUAUCUGGUGUAGGAUUCUAUUGUGGCACUUGUAGUCCGCUGCAGGCAUCCUCCAUUGUAUGCAUUUUUAUGCUGGGGAUCACCCCUAGUAACGGACUACAAGGGCAGGAUCUGCUCCCCCAGUAUAAAUGCACAACUGCAUUUGGGGUUGAGCACCUCCAGCCAUUUGAGACCAUGUUUUUUGUUUAAAUUUUAUACUUGGAGGUGUGUAAACUCCAUAGUUAAUGUGCCUUGAAUAUCUUCCAGGCAGCAUUAGGGUAGCACCUGUGAGGCCAUGCACCUAUAUUAGCCAACUCAGGUGGGGCUUGCAGCUUGCCUCCCUCCUCCCAUUGUAUGUGUUCUCAGUCACGCUGGAGGGUACCUGGGAGGAGUCUGUGAGUCGACCGAAUGCUGCCGUAAUUGCCCACUGGCCCGUUUUGCUUAUCACGCACAGGUAGGAUUAGCGUUAGGUCCCGCGCCAUUUUGAGAAACCUUGGUGUUGGUGUGCGGGCUCUGGUAUGUCCUUCAUAUAAGGAUAUGCUGGCGAAUGUCUCAAUUUUAACAUCAGUGUUGAGGGAUAGCCAAUGUCAUUGUAUACAUCUACCUCAGUAGUGCACCUAAAUUUCUGUAUUGUAUUAUUCUAAUUGUUACAGAUCCACACCGUCUAUCUGGUGUAGGAUUCUAUUGUGGCACUUGUAGUCCACUGCAGGCAUCCUCCAUUGUAUGCAUUUUUAUGCUGGGGAUCGCCCCUAGCAAUGGACUACAAGGGCAGGCUCUGCUCCCCCAGUAUAAAUGCACAACUGCAUUUGGGGUUGAGCACCUCCAGCCAUUUGAGACCACGUUUUUUGUUGUCUGUAAGACUGGAAGGACAGAAACUCCUGUUAAACAGCACCUUAUGUUGGUCUGUUGUUCAUUUUAACAAUAUGUCACAGAUCCCAUAUGACCAUCCCAAAAUAAGUAGUAGUACAACUUGAGAUCUAGA